CCUACGGGAGGCAGCAGUGAGGAAUAUUGGUCAAUGGUCGGGAGACUGAACCAGCCAAGCCGCGUGAGGGAUGAAGGUACAGAGUAUCGUAAACCUCUUUUGUCAGGGAACAAAGGCGGGGACGCGUCCCCGGAUGAGUGUACCUGACGAAAAAGCAUCGGCUAACCCCGUGCCAUCAGCCCCGGUAAUAGGGAGGAUGCGAGGGUUAUCAGGAUUUGUUGGGUUAAAGGGGUGCGGCGCGGGUCUGUUAAGUCAGCGGUAAACGCCCGGGGCCCACCCCGGGCCCGCCGUUGAAACUGGCAGUCUCGAGUUGGAGAGAGGUAUGCGGAAUGCGCGGUGUAGCGGUGAAAUGCAUAGAGAUCGCGCAGAACUCCGAUUGCGAAGGCAGCAUGCCGGCUCCACACUGACGCUGAGGCACGAAAGCGUGGGUAUCGAACAGGAUUAGAUACCCGGGUAGUC
rnacentral:rRNA from 1 species